UGGCUACACUCUAAAUGAGAAGAAUCGAAGAAAAAUUGCCGGAUGGACCAUCUUGUUAACAUGUGUUGGGGCACUACUCCUUACUUACGCAGCUACAAAUUUGAGCCUUCCAAGCUAUGUGCGAUAUUCCGUUAGCGGAAUCGGUGUUAUGCUUCUUUUAUCUGCUUUGGUUGUGCUGUCCUGCAUAGACCAAGAUGAUGCAAGGCACAGCUUUGGACACA
rnacentral:misc_RNA from 1 species